ACAUUAUGAUACAAUUGGGCUACGUUGGCCACUACACACGAGGCGAUAUUGUGCGCGCGAGCUGUAAGCGAGCGCGCAAUAAGAAAGCCGAUGUAUGUAUUGACCAAUGCACACGCGUUUCAUACGACGUUUUUCAACACACUUGCGAGGAAAAAACAAAACUUAUAAAUUAGUUUUUUUUUGUCAAAACAGUAAAAGUACCUACAAUUUUCAAAAUGGUGGCUGCAGUUUUAACAUCGAAUAAUUGCACAAAAGCGUGCUGGGCUUUAAGCUACCAACACGUUUUCCAAGAAAGACUGGGCGUUUUUGCUGAUUUUCCAUUGUAUAAAAGUUUCAUAUGCCGCCAAUUAUUUUUCACCCGGUUUUGAUGGUAAAAGGCUCGGCUCUUGCCUUUAUUAGAUUUACUGGCAGCGUCAAUUAUAUGUAUUCUUCAUUUUCAAUGCUUGAAAAUGACACUUUCGUCAAUAUAUAAACUAAAAAUAUGCAAAACUAUUCCAAUUUUAUGACAAAUACGGAAAAUGGCUUGCGCGUUAUUUUUUUUACGCACGAUUCAAAUGCGCGCGCAAGGCAAAGGCG